GAAAAGAUAAGCUAAUAUAAGCUGAUGGGUUCAUAUCUCAUAUAUAGAAUAAUUCUUCUUUUUA
rnacentral:tRNA from 1 species